CUACGGGACGCACCAGUGGGGAAUAUUGGACAAUGGGCGAAAGCCUGAUCCAGCAAUGCCGCGUGAGUGAUGAAGGCCUUAGGGUUGUAAAGCUCUUUUACCAGGGAUGAUAAUGACAGUACCUGGAGAAUAAGCUCCGGCUAACUCCGUGCCAGCAGCCGCGGUAAUACGGAGGGAGCUAGCGUUGUUCGGAAAUACUGGGCGUAAAGCGCACGUAGGCGGCGAAGUAAGUCAGGGGUGAAAUCCCGGGGCUCAACCCCGGAACUGCCCUUGAAACUGCUUUGCUAGAAUCCUGGAGAGGCGAGUGGAAUUCCGAGUGUAGAGGUGAAAUUCGUAGAUAUUCGGAAGAACACCAGUGGCGAAGGCGACUCGCUGGACAGGUAUUGACGCUGAGGUGCGAAAGCGUGGGGAGCAAACAGGAUUAGAUACCCCUGUAGUC
rnacentral:rRNA from 1 species